CUUAAGCGAUUCAUAGAACCUUUAAAAAGUGAAUUGUAGCAUUUCAUUCUUUGUUUAAAUUGAUUUAGUGCCAACCUCCAUGCCGAUUUUCUGCAGUGAGUACAUACCCCUAUUUGUGACAUGAGUGCCACAUUGUCCAUGCACAUUACAAAUCUUCAGAGGGGCCCUCAUUGUACUUCCCAAAAGGCUCCCAUGUAGCCGCACCUGCAAGCUCCGUAACAUCAGCUUGGACCCAUCAAAAACCCCACAAAUGCUGGAG